GAUGAACGCUGGCGGCGUGCCUAAUACAUGCAAGUCGAGCGGAAAGGCCCUUCGGGGUACUCGAGCGGCGGACGGCUGAGUAACACGUAGGAACCUACUCCAGACUGAGGGAUAAGCACCAGAAAUGGUGUCUAAUACCGCAUAACCUCCUCGGAGAAAGCUUCGGCGGUUGGGUAAGGGCCGUGCGCAUGAUUAGCUUGUUGGUGAGGUAAUGGCUCACCAAGGCGACGAUCAUUAGCUGGUCUGAGAGGAUGAUCAGCCAGACUGGGACUGAGAACGGCCCAGACUCCUACGGGAGGCAGCAGUAGGGAAUUUUCCACAAUGGACGAAAGUCUGAUGGAGCAACGCCGCGUGCAGGAUGAAUG
rnacentral:rRNA from 1 species